rnacentral:rRNA from 1 species
GACGAACGCUGGCGGCGUGCUUAACACAUGCAAGUCGAACGGAAAGGCCCUGCUUUUGUGGGGUGCUCGAGUGGCGAACGGGUGAGUAACACGUGAGUACCCUGCCCUUGACUGUGGGAUAACUUCAGGCAACUGGGGCUAAUACCGGAUAGGAGCUCCUGCUGCAUGGUGGGGGUUGGAAAGUUUCGGCGGUUGGGGAUGGACUCGCGGCUUAUCAGCUUGUUGGUGGGGUAGUGGCUUACCAAGGCUUUGACGGGUAGCCGGCCUGAGAGGGUGACCGGCCACAUUGGGUCUGAGCUACGGCCCGGACUCCUACGGGAGGCAGCAGUGGGGAAUAUUGCACUAUGGGCGGAAGCCUGAUGCAGCAACGCCGCGUGGGGUAUGACGGCCUUCGGUUUGUAUACCGCUUUCCUCUGUGCCGAAGCGUGAGUGACGGUAAUGGGUAAAGAAGCCCCGGCUAACUACGUG